rnacentral:lncRNA from 1 species
GAAAUAAAGUCUUACCGUCCAAAAUCUAACGGUACGUGGCGCAUGCAACGUAUCAUGCGCGAUUAGCGGCAUGACGACCUGGCUAACAAUUAUAAACAGGUUACAUGCAAUCCUUGUCAUCAGUGAUAUUGUGACAUCCUGCAAGGAGAGUUACACAACCCACAUUUCCUGUGCUCAAGAUGUUGAUGCAGGAGUGAAAGUCAUCUCUGCUUCUUGACUUCCUGUUGAAAUUUGUUAAAAUUGGAACACAAAUUUGACAUCUUUGAGGGAUUUGAAAAUGGAGUUGAUAAGUGCAGUUACAGCACUGUUUCCCACCAGUCUUCCAGUACUGAUUGCAUUUCUGGUGAUGUUAGGUGCUGCCUCAUUCUACAUAUUGAUAGCCGCCAAAAAGGUAAUUACAAAAACUGAAAUGAGAGGUUGGAGAGGGGGUCAAAAUGUAAUUUUUCUACUGGUAGUUUAACAGAAAAAAUACAAAUUGGUGAACAGUGCACAUUGAUAAGUUCCAUAUUUCUAUGAAAAAUGUGUAGGCCUAACUGCUUAUUUCUUCUUCAUGUAAUUUGGAAUAAUUAAGUACAUGUAAGUUGUACAAUGUAGUUGUACCUUUGGGACAUUGAAUUUUAAUUUUUCCAGGUUUAAGUAGCAUAAUUAAGUGGCACUGAACAGGUGCACACACAUUUCCUGUAUCUAAAAUUUUAGCCAAAAUGUCAGAAUUCAGUCAGAGAAAUCUGUGAAGCCGGACAUUGAUCCUUCAAUUCUGUAGUUUGAUAACAGAACAGAAAAAAAGGUCUACAUGUGUUUCAUAAUGUUGGUGCCAAGGGCAGAUUCAAGGGGACCAGCGACAGGGCCGUGGCCCCCUGCAAAAUAAAAAAAACAACCAAAAAACCCCCAAAACGGAGCCAAACAGUUUGUUUUGAAAAUCAACGAAAGGCGAAUAGUUUCAACUGUUUCAUUUCCUUUCCCUCAAAAAGGGUGUAAAAAGCUACAAAAUGUAGCCUCGCCCCUCAGAAGGGCCAUAAAAGGUUACAUGAUACAUAUGAAUUUACAGCAUUUUUUGGGUUCCCCCUCCCCAUCCCCAAUUUGGUUCUGG